rnacentral:sRNA from 1 species
UUUUAGGUUUUAUUCUUGUUCCAUAAAAAUUGACUAAAUUUUAACCCGCGGUAUACCGCGGGACGAUUUAUUUUUUAAAAGUAAUAUAUAUUAAAAUUUGCAAAUUUUAUUUUUAUAAAAUAUUUAUAUUUUACAGUUUAUAAUUGUUAUUAAGUAAGGCUAUAACACGAAUCUAUGAGACAAUUGUUGAAAAACUAAAGUUGUAACCCCUAUUAAAACAGCAUAUUAAUAAUAUUUUAAAAUUUUAUAAAUAUUGAUUCAAAUACAUCCACCAUAUAACCCAAUUACAAAAUAAAACUCGUUCUAUAAUUUCUUUACCCGUCCCGUGAUUUUUUUUUUAAAGUAGUAAUUUUUAAAAUUUAAGAAUAUAAAAGUUUUGCAAAUUAUAUCAUUCUCUAAUACAUUUAUAUUUUAUAUAUAGUAACAUUAUACAUACCCCAUAACAUUUUUGGUUUUAUAUAAUCUUUUCUAAAUUAGGAUGAUUUGAUAUGUUUAAUAUUAGUGGUCUUAAAAAAUAAUAAAUUAAAGAUUUAACCCGUAUUGAAACGGUAUAUUAAUUAUAUUUAACUUUUUUUAUUAAUGUUGAUUCAAAAACCCGUCACUCCAAAUCCGUCUUGCCAAAAAGCCAUUUAUUUUAUUAAUAUUAAUUUUAUUAAUAAUAUGACUCUGAAUUAUAAUCUAAACAUUUUAGCUAAUAACAUAGGAGUAUACCAUUUUUAUUUAAUAGGGGAAUGUACCAUAUGACCCGAAUACACUUUUACCCAAAUCCACCAAAAAAGUCUUGCAAAAAUAGUAUAGAGAUAAGAAACGAUAGUCGGUUUUGAUAGGUAUAAGAUUAGCAAAUAUAUUAGUUAGCUUAAAUUAGUUAAAUAAUACAAAUUGAAAAGGUAUAUUACACUUUAUUCGAAUAUAGUAUCAAAACUUAUAUAACACAUAG